ACAGACAGACAUACAGACAGCAGAGUGACAUUAAUCGGGCUCCGUUUUUAGCCUUUGGUUAUAUUACGGAACCCUAAAAACAA